UUGGUCCAAUACCAGUAAAGUACAAAUCUAGAAAUAGGAAAGUACAUUACUACUUACAUUUUCACUCUAGAACCUUCAGUUCUCAUCUUCUUUCCAAAAUUUCCAUCUAGUUUUCUCCGUUCAAUUUUUACAAUUCAGAAUUUAGAACAUGCAUGUUCUAGAAGAAAUUGAAAGAAUGCCUAUACAUGAUAUCUUUCUGCAAUAUGAUAGAAUAUCCUACACUCCUUGAAGCAGACAGGACCUAGAGCUCUUGAAUAGCAAAUGUGUAUCAUACGAACAGAGCCAAGUAAUAUGAAAGUGAAGGAGUAAUUUGAGAGCAACACCUGGUGGAAUUGCCUUCUGCGAGUAAAAUCAACAAUGCAAGAAGUGAGUGGUUUGAAAUUAGGUUCAUAAUGUAACCGUCUUUUGAAUUUGUCCAAAUAAUACCUUCUCGACACUGGCAACGAAGAAGAUGACAAUGACAAUGUCAGUCUCUGAAAUGCAUUUUGAUUCAGUUGUUGCUGCAAGGAUUUUGCUUUUGUGAUUAUAUUUAAAAGAGUGUUGGUUCAAUUGCUAUAAAUUUAUCCAUCUGCGACAAAUUGACACUGUAUUCAACAACACUGAUUCCUUUGUGAAGUUGCAUUGACCUAUGUUUUUCUGUUUA